GAUGGUUACUUUCAUGUGUUGGACCCCUAAUCUUCAUCUUCGAUUUGUUCAUGAUGUUCAAAGACUUGGAUGACAAGAGAGUAAGUUACUUUAUUCCAUUAACAUAGAUCUAUUUUCUUUUCCAAUUUUAUUUAAUCUUGCUUGUGUAAUAAUUAAUUAACUCCAUAGUUUAGUUAAUUUGUAUGUUAUUAUUACAUAUAUUUGCUUCUUUUUUUUAAAUAAUAUUUGCUUAUUUAGGAUGUGUAUAUAUAUAGGAGCAACACCAAAAUUGGUUCUUCAAUUGAAGAAUAUCAAAGGUUUAAGUAUUGCUCAUGUCGAGUCAUUUACAGGUAUAUAUAUGAAGUUACAUAAUUGUUAUCACAACCUGAAUUUGAAUCUUUUAAUUUGGUUAAUUUCUUUUAUUUUCAUCUAUCUAUUUCUUUUUUUUUUUUUUCAGAUGUACAAGAGCAAGAAGAUAGAGGACACAAAUCAUCAAGGUACAUAUAUAUAAAAUAUUUAGUUUAAUUUUUUUAAUUACUCUUUGCAAGAUUAUCAAUGAGUAAUUAGGAUUACAUUUGUGCUUAAUUGCAAACCUAAUGAAUUUGAUUAUGUGUGUGUAUAUAUAUGACAGUAGUAAAGGCUGAUCAUCAUAGGCUUCUAAUAGAAAAUGGAGAGACAAAUAAUGUUUAUAAUCUCAGCCAGUUUCCCAUGCUUCAAAGUUAUAGGAAUGGGAAAGACAUCAGCUUCUAAUCAUAGCAGUAACAAAUUUAGGCUAAAAAUGAAAGUUAGGCUACUUUUAAAUUCUUAGAUCAAUUGCUAAAAACGAAAGUUAGGCUACUUUUCAAGGUGCAACUUUAGAUCAUUGCUAACACUUGUAUUUUUACAUUGAUGUAAUAUAGUUAUAGGCUUGUAGCAUUUUUUGUUGUUUA